ensembl:lncRNA
AUUGAAGAGGGGAGACCCACCCUCACUGUACCCCACACCCAGGGCUUUGGGGUCAGGGACUAGGGACCAGAGGGUGAUGGGGAGGGGUGCUAAGAAUUCUUGUGAAUGGAGGAGGGGAUGGGGCAACUAGCAGGAUUCUGGCGCUCAGAAGCUUUGUAUCUCUUCAGGGACCUCAGGGGUACAUGACAUGGGUGGGUGACCCUUUCGUACUUAAUUUAACCACAUACAUAUUGUUGACUUGGAAUGCUUCAGUGUUUUUGCCUUCUGAGCAAUAAAAUCAAAAUUUGCUAUCUGUUCAGUAUUCCCCCCUGAGGUCCUGAAUUGUGAAUUUGGGCCCAGCCACUCCCAGCAGAGGUGUGGGGUGGGGGUCCCUCUGGCAGUCCCUAUCCAAUGCAUGUAGCUGCUUCCCAUCUAGGUGGUCUGUGAAACAGCUGAGGCCAAUGGAGCCCCUUAUACUUUCUGCAGCCCUGAGGAUGACCAGCAACCCCAGAGGAGUCAGCAUCUGUCUGUGCCCCAGGUGCUAAUGCGGAAAGAAACCACCAAGAAUGAGAGCAGGCUCCAGAGCCAGCGAUCGCACCAAGGAUGUCUGAGGGAAACGCCUAACACAGAGACGCCCCCUCCCCAAGGCUCGGCUGUCUCCCGACUGUAGAAGGUCCCCAAGAGAGGGCUCCCUCCGGGACGGG